CAAUAGCGUAUAUUAAAGUUGUUGCAGUUAAAAAGCUCGUAGUUGGAUUUCGGGGCAGCCUGGCUGGUCCGCCGCAAGGCGAGUACUGGUCAGCCGCCCUUCCUCUCGAAAGCCCCGACUGCUCUUCGUUGCAGUGGUCGGGUAGUUCGGGACGUUUACUUUGAAAAAAUUAGAGUGUUCAAGGCAGGCCUACGCCUGAAUACAUUAGCAUGGAAUAAUGGAAGAGGACCUCGGUCCUAUUUUGUUGGUUUCCAGGGCCGAAGUAAUGAUUAAGAGGGACAGUUGGGGGCAUUCGUAUUUAAUUGUCAGAGGUGAAAUUCUCGGAUUUAUGAAAGACGAACAACUGCGAAAGCAUUCGCCAAGGAUGUUUUCAUUAA
rnacentral:rRNA from 1 species